GAUGAACGCUAGCGGCAGGCCUAAUACAUGCAAGUCGGACGGGAUCCAUUGAUAGCUUGCUAUCAAUGGUGAGAGUGGCGCACGGGUGCGUAACGCGUGAGCAACCUGCCUCCAUCAGGGGGAUAGCCUCUCGAAAGAGAGAUUAACACCGCAUAAUAUCAACAGUUCGCAUGUUCAGUUGAUUAAAUAUUUAUAGGAUGGAGAUGGGCUCGCGUGACAUUAGCUAGUUGGUAGGGUAACGGCUUACCAAGGCGACGAUGUCUAGGGGCUCUGAGAGGAGAAUCCCCCACACUGGUACUGAGACACGGACCAGACUCCUACGGGAGGCAGCAGUAAGGAAUAUUGGUCAAUGGGCGGAAGCCUGAACCAGCCAUGCCGCGUGCAGGAGGACUGCCCUAUGGGUUGUAAACUGCUUUUGUCCAGGAAUAAACCUAAAUACGAGUAUUUAGCUGAAUGUACUGGAAGAAUAAGGAUCGGCUAACUCCGUG
rnacentral:rRNA from 1 species